AAUGGGUCAGCGACUUAUAUUCUGUAGCAAGGUUAACCGAAUAGGGGAGCCGAAGGGAAACCGAGUCUUAACUGGGCGUUAAGUUGCAGGGUAUAGACCCGAAACCCGGUGAUCUAGCCAUGGGCAGGUUGAAGGUUGGGUAACACUAACUGGAGGACCGAACCGACUAAUGUUGAAAAAUUAGCGGAUGACUUGUGGCUGGGGGUGAAAGGCCAAUCAAACCGGGAGAUAGCUGGUUCUCCCCGAAAGCUAUUUAGGUAGCGCCUCGUGAAUUCAUCUCCGGGGGUAGAGCACUGUUUCGGCAAGGGGGUCAUCCCGACUUACCAACCCGAUGCAAACUGCGAAUACCGGAGAAUGUUAUCACGGGAGACACACGGCGGGUGCUAACGUCCGUCGUGAAGAGGGAAACAACCCAGACCGCCAGCUAAGGUCCCAAAGUCAUGGUUAAGUGGGAAACGAUGUGGGAAGGCCCAGACAGCCAGGAUGUUGGCUUAGAAGCAGCCAUCAUUUAAAGAAAGCGUAAUAGCUCACUGGUCGAGUCGGCCUGCGCGGAAGAUGUAACGGGGCUAAACCAUGCACCGAAGCUGCGGCAGCGACACUAUGUGUUGUUGGGUAGGGGAGCGUUCUGUAAGCCUGUGAAGGUGUGCUGUGAGGCAUGCUGGAGGUAUCAGAAGUGCGAAUGCUGACAUAAGUAACGAUAAAGCGGGUGAAAAGCCCGCUCGCCGGAAGACCAAGGGUUCCUGUCCAACGUUAAUCGGGGCAGGGUGAGUCGACCCCUAAGGCGAGGCCGAAAGGCGUAGUCGAUGGGAAACAGGUUAAUAUUCCUGUACUUGGUGUUACUGCGAAGGGGGGACGGAGAAGGCUAUGUUGGCCGGGCGACGGUUGUCCCGGUUUAAGCGUGUAGGCUGGUUUUCCAGGCAAAUCCGGAAAAUCAAGGCUGAGGCGUGAUGACGAGGCACUACGGUGCUGAAGCAACAAAUGCCCUGCUUCCAGGAAAAG
rnacentral:rRNA from 2 species